GCCAUUCUAGAAGUACACUAAGAAGGAGUUACAAGGGGGAAAGAGAGAUACUGAUGAUUUCUCUAAAUUCUCCGAUUGGCAUAACCUCGAAACUCAGCAAGUUCCAGAGAGCGUCAUCUUCGUGUUCCUAUCAGCAUCAUCUUAGCAGCGUCCUAGGCACAGCAUGGUGAAAGUACAGACCACCAAAGAAAAGAAGUAGUAAAGGAAUCCAGAAAAAUAGGUCACCUAAGAUAUUACUCACAUUCAUCUUGCUGCGAUAAAAUACCAUGACCAAAAGCAACUUAUACUCUUAAGGCUCAGACCUUAACGACAGGGGCAGCCUGGUAACAAGGAGGCGCGUUGGCAGGAGCAGGGAGCUGGAAAAGUCUCAUCUCAGCCACACACUGAGAACAGAGAAUGCAAACUGGAAGUGGGGAGAAUCUGCAAACUCUCAAAUCAAGACUCCAACAAGGCUCCACAUCUUAAACCGCCCACAACUCCCAGAAUAGCGCCCCCGGCUGGAGAGCAACUGUUCAAACACAUGAGCCUAUAAGAGCCUGUGGGAGGUAGUCCUCAUUUGGAUCACCAGGACCACUUACAGAGGAACACAGCUUUGCUGUUGAUCUUUUGAACUCUGUGGAAUUACUUAGUGCAUAGAUAGAGCCAAUACCAAGAUCCAGGUCUUAUUUUGAUUUUUAUGCCUGUGUUCUCAGUUCUACCAAAGUUUUAUCAUAUGUCCAGGUGCAGGAUCAUUUGUGCACAGAAGUGAAUGCAAGUCGGAAAGAUGGGCAAAUUUGAAAAUCUGGAAGGAAUGUUAACCAUCGUCUGCUUGACAUAUGAAAAAUAUGCCAAAACAUAUUUAGGUAUUGAAGAAACAAGGCUAGUCACAUUUUGGUAAUUUCUCAAUAUAGGCCAGGAAUAGUGCUGGCACUU
rnacentral:lncRNA from 1 species